UCUAUACGUCUAAUUUGCUUUUAGUCUCUGAUACGUACCGAAUGACUCAUCGAUAAUGUAGGUUCAUUGAUAACGCGUCACACACCUUGCGGUUAAUCGAGCAAAUGUUAGUUCAUUCUCAAACAAAGCAGUCGCGAGGUUAGUCGAUUUUAGCGGAAUGGCUGACAUAAACAACGACAAUGAAUAAGAGAAGAACAAUAACACGAGACAUGUUUUAUGCCUUUCCUCGACGGUAGUUCCAAAUGUAAGCGUAUCUCGGGUAUCUUUCAAUUCUUCUUAGAUGGUAUUUUCUUCGGACUGGCUUCAGGGCACACUGAACGUUCUUUCAAGAACGAACCGGAUUUACGAAACGUCGGAACAAAGCGCAACUACUGAUAAAACGCGAUUGAAAUCCGAGGAAGCACAAACAUGUCACAUGCAUGAUAUAGUUUUAAACAGUAUACUUGGAUUUUACGUUUUGCAUCUGGAUCCAAACAGUUUCAUCAGCACGAAUUUCUCGAAACGUGUUUCGAGGACCCUCGGGAUGAAGCGAAAUCGUCAGACGAAGCAGCAGGAGAAGCGGUCGAGGGUGAAUCGAAGGCAACCGAAAUUCCUGCCAUAUUUCGCUGAAACCGAGUUUCCUUCCGGCUGGUUGAUUCAAUAUGUUCCAUCCGGGUAAAACGGAACUCCAGCCAGGCUAUGGACAAUACACUUUUCCGAAUGAAUCCCGUGGUUCCAUGAACGCGAAUGGAAUAUCUCGAUCGACGAUCCCGCGGAAUGGAGCGGCCAAGAUAUAGCCAAAUUCUAUUUCUUGUUCGAUGAACGAGAUUUCGAGAUUAAGAAGAUAAAGAAAGAUCAUCGUGUGUUUUCUACUUCUUCGCAUGUUCAUGCUGAAGAUGUUAAAACGUAUUGAAAACGAGGGAUAUGAUAAUGUUUAUUGGGAAGAAUAUUAGCGAUUUUUCCUAGUAUUAUCGAUCCUUUGAACCUACAAAUUCUACUUACCAAACCUCUAGUCCUUAAUUUAUAUUACAAAUCGUGUUCUCAAAACUGGAAUUUUACCGACUGUAACUCAAGUUAGCAGCGAUGCACGACUGUUCUCUAUUUAAACAUCUUUGCAUGUUCAAUUAUUAAUGCUAUUGAGCAUGUUUAUCGGGCAAUCAUUAAAACUACUAAGCACGUUGGAUCAACGAUCGAUUAGUUAAUGAUAAAUAAAAGAGAAGAGAUUAAGAUUAGGAGAAAAAGGAUAUAUCAUUGAAAAUUUGAAAAAUAUUCAUAGCGCUAUUGCGAGAUUUAGUCUCACGAUAUAAAGGAUCCUUGUUUCAAACGGUCCAUUUACGGUCGAAAAUUUAGUGCACCGGCAGCACAUAAAAUCUCAACGAACGAGGCUCUGGCGCGAUGAGAUUUAUGGAAAUUGAAGAUCUCUAUAGCAGAGUUGUUACAAAUCUUUCACUGGAUCAUCGUCUAUUUCGCGUCCAGACAUCUUCCUCGCCAAAAGUGUAAGGUUUUUUAAGCACUCAAUGAAAAAGAGACGAUGAUAGACGUGUCAACGAUUUUUCUGCUGCGCAAUUAUUGUUUUCAUCUGAACAAAAAUGUGAUCUCAGCGGGACAGAACAACCAACAGUCUACCACGUUUGAUUGCUCCGUCGUAUUCAUCGAAACGACGGUUCGUCAGAACACGCAUUCGCUGUUACACUCGUUGCUGGUUCAGAAUAAACGCUCCACCUGCGACGAUGCUGGGCCAAAUUUCAAGGCACCUAUUUAUGGUUGCCAAGGAAACAUGUGCACAAUUUUACGAGGGGAACGUGAAAACCCCUUUCGCGAGUCCAGCAACCACGAUAACUGUCGUCGUAUUUUCCUGACGGCACACGAGUCGAGGGACGAGAGAAUCGUUGUUGGUAAUACGCGUGUACCGAAA
rnacentral:lncRNA from 11 species